rnacentral:rRNA from 1 species
CGGUAUCCUAACCGUGCGAAGGUAGCGCAAUCAAUUGUCCCAUAAAUCGAGACUUGUAUGAAUGGCUAAACGAGGCCUUAACUGUCUCUUACAGAUAGUCAGUGAAAUUGAUCUCCCUGUACAAAAGCAGGAAUAUAUACAUAAGACGAGAAGACCCUGUGGAACUUAAAAAUAAGCGGCCACUAUACAUAAAUACACACCUACCAGGCCCACAGCUACAACCCUAAUUGCUGGCCACCAUUUUUCGGUUGGGGCGACCUUGGAGAAAAGAAAAACCUCCAAAAAUAAGACCAUACCUCUUAACCAAGAGCAACCCCUCAACGUACUAAUAGUAACCAGAUCCAAUAAAGAUUGACCAAUGGACCAAGCUACCCCAGGGAUAACAGCGCA